AUGGGACAUUGUGCCAGUGGUCUAUCACCUCAUCCCUGCACCCAACAAGACCAAGAAUGGAGCGAAGGAGGGAGCGAAGGAGGGGGCGAAGGAGGGAGCGAAGGAGGGGGCGAAGGAGGGGCGAAGGAGGGAGCGAAGGAGGGAGCGAAGGAGAAGGAUGUGAAGGAGGAGUUUGAAGAGGCUCUCAGAGACCCUGAAGAUACAGUGGAUGACCAAGUUAGACACCAGCUCCCUGUAUGAUGACCUGAAGGAGAACUUCUCUUCCUACCUGCCACUACAUGUUCAGAGGCUGCACCAGCUCGACUCUGAGAAGGAGCGUCUGAAGCGCCUGGGUGACAUCGUAACGGCCUCUGACAUGGUUCUGUCUCAGAUCGACCAGACGGCCCUGGCAGUCUACCUCACCUUAAAGACCGACCCUCGCCCUGACGCUGCCACAAUCAAGAGUGACAUGGAGAAGCAGAAAUGUUCCCUGUUGGAUGCUCUGUGUAGGAAGGGCUGUGCCCUGGCUGACCUGGUACUGCUGCCUGCUCCACCCCAGGACGGGGCUGGGGGGGCCGGAGACGGGGCAGAGACAGGGGCUGAAGAGGAGGAGGUGACCAGCUCUGACGACGCCCAACAGGGCAGGGCCAAAGCCUUAACAGACACCUUCUGGGAGCUGCAGAAGUGGGUGGAGCUAACGGACUCUAAGGUGUUGACGUUCUCCUACAAACAUGCACUAGUCAAUAAGAUGUACGGCAGAGCCCUGAAGUUUGCCUCCAAGAUCGUAGAAGAUAAACCCAGUAGAGAGAACAUGAAGAACUGCAUUCAGGUAAUGCGGUCCUUGGGCUGGAUGCACUGUGCCACUUUUACGGAGAACUGGCUGCCCAUCAUGUACCCUGCCGACUACACUCCCUUCUAGACACUCUGUUACACACACACACACACACACACACACACACACACACACACACACACACACACACACACACACACACACACACACACAGCAGUCAUGGAUUGACCUCACAAACAUAAACACACAUCUGAAAACAGUCAGCGUUUUUUUUUUUUACCAAGUCUUGACUGAAUUCCUCGAAACAAUGUGGUCGCGUAGAGAAGAUUUCAACCCAGACACACUUUCAGAGCUUCUUGUUUUUAAAAAAAACCUCCACUGUUGUUCAGUUGUAGAUAGAAAGAUGCAGUCCCAGAACGGAUCGUUUCAUUUUUAUCUGAUAUUCCUGUUCUGAAUGUUUCACCCUCCUGAAGGAACCCGGUCUGUAGAAAGGUACUGACACACUACACAUUAUAAACAGGCAAUAUAACAGGUUAUUAUUCUCCCUGAUGGAGUUUUAAAUGUGUGUGUGUGUGUGCAUGUCUUUUAGAGAAAACAAAAGGGGGAGGUUUUGUGUUUGGAAGCUGAUAAUUUUGAGUCUAUGUUAAAUUGAACCCUGUAGUUUUACUUGAAUGUCAGUCCAUUAUUCCUUCGUGUGUGUGUGUGUGUGUGUGUGUGUCCUCUCCCUGGAAAGAGCCUCCCUCAUUGUCAGGAUUCCACAGUGAUUCUGUCCUCGCUUUUGUUUCACCCCUCCUUUCCUCCCUCCUUCCCUCCUUUCCUCCCUCCUUUCCUCCCCCCUUUCUCUGUACUGUAAAUUAAGCAUUUGAGGUUUUAGUUACGGUCUGAAGUUCAGGGUUCAUCUGUCUCAUUCUGUCUUCUCGUUGCCAACGACAGUCUCUCCUAAUGGCCUUAACUUUAAUCAACCACGGGACCGUCAGCGCCGUCCAACUCCUGACUCCAGAUCGAUCAGAACAACCUCCUCAUAUCUCUCUGGUUGUGGCCCAAACACCACCCUAUUCCCUAUAUAGUGCACUUCUUGUGACUAGAGGCCUGCGGGGGGUUUCAUACGGCUGUGAUUUGAAAGCAGUGCACUCUAUAGGGAAUAGGUUAACAGUUUGGGGAGGCAUCCUAUCGGUUCUCUCUGCUGGUGUCAAAAGACCUUUCGGAUAAUAUUAAUGGGAUGUCUUGUAUUUAUAUCACAACUCACAAACUUAGUCAAUUAAACGACAAUAUUUUACGGAAUGUUAAGAUUUGAAAGGAAAUGUACUUUUUAGUAUUAUUUUAUAACCAUAUUCUUCCGGGACGACAUGUGGAAAGUACCAACACGCAGUUUUGUUAUCACUGUAAUGGAAUUAUGUCACAAAUGAAUAAAAAGAUUUGGAAGAGUAA